AUGUACUGGCAGUGCGUCUGCAGCGGAGCGCUGCGCACGGAAUUGGAACGGGAGCACUCGGCUGUUUGGUGUCACUUGAGACCUGGAUCUCAUCUGUGUGGGAACGAGGCGGUGGCUGUGGCAGAGAGACAGGCUGUGUGCUGGAAAACAAAGAGAGAAUUCUGGCUGGCUGGGCUGGUGUGAAGAAUCGCUGCCGUGGGGCUGAGCUGAAGGUGUGCGAGGAGAAGGAAACAGGAGCAGAGCGAGAAGCCAGCUGUGAACAGCACCGCUCGCUUCUGCUACUGAGCGAGCUCUUCUAGAAAAUGUCAAAGAACAUCCUCAUCAUCUAAAGCCAUUUUUAAAAUGAUUGCUAAUAUGGCUCAAUUAUGUUUUCUUUCCCUGCACCCAUGUGUUUAAAUGUGAAAGAAAAUGGUGAGAGUGACUGCUAAAGAUGCUUGAUAGUGCAUAUUUGCUUGGAAGUAUAUUUUCAUAUCAAGCAAAUGUCAGUGCAAACACCUGCAAUUUGCAUUGCUUCUAACUGUAAGAAACAAACGUAAGUUGGUUCACCACCACCACAACUCUGAAUAAAGCUCCUGCUGCUCUGUGGCUGGUACUAGGU
rnacentral:lncRNA from 1 species